GCUCCGAUGGCCUAGUGGUUAGAGCGUCUGCCUAGGAUGCGGGAGGUCGUAGGUCCAAUCCCCGGCCGAGUCA